ACUCAAAUGAAUUGACGGGGACCUGCACAACCAGCGGAGCAUGUGGUUUAAUUCGAGACGAACCGAAGAACCUUACCCAGACUUGACAUGAUACCGUUUUAGGCACCUAGAAAUAGGAGCUGAUCCUUCAGAAAUGUUGGAUGGUACCACAGGUGUUGCAUGGCUGUCGUCAGCUCGUGCCGUAGGGUGUUCCCUUAAGUGGGGUAACGAGCGCAACCCCUUUCGUAUGUUGAAUUUUCAUACGACACUAUCUCGCUUUGCGAGAAGGAAGCGGGGACGACGUCAAGUCAGCAUGGCCCUUAUGUCUGGGGCAACACACAUACUACAAUGGAGCCCACAAAGCGACGCCAAGUCGUAAGACGGAGCUAAUCGCAUAAAGGGCUUCUCAGUGGGGAUUGAGGGCUGAAACCCGCCCUCAUGAACGUGGAGUUGGUAGUAAUCGCGGGUCAGCUAAACCGCGGUGAAUACGUUCUCAGGUCUUGUACACACCGCCCGU
rnacentral:rRNA from 1 species